CCAGGUGGGGCCACUGAAGCCGGAGCAUGCCGGGCAGGGGUCAGGCCCUGGCGGGGCGAGGGGGCCUCCUUGGCUCCUUGUCGCCGGAUGCCCGUCCUCGUUCUCAUCUUCCCGCCUGCCGCCAGGCCUUUCCGUGGGGUCCCGAUAUUUUCCUUUCUGCUUCUACCCACUGAAGCUGGUUCGUCGCCAGGGUCGGCCACGUGCCCGCCUUGGGUGCUCCCACAGCCCGGGAGGUGCAGCUGCGUCCCCAGACCCUCGCGGGGGUCUCCAGCUGUAGGCAGCCCCUGGGCAGGAGGGGCUUCUGCGUGUUCAGGCCACCCCGGCUUCCCUGGCCUGUGGCUCCAGUCUCCUCUGGGCUCCUGACUACCCAGUGUGGCUGCUUCUCCCGGGUGGGAGAGACACAGCGAGGACCUUAUCCCUCCCCAUCACCACCCUGGCAAAGUCAAGCCGCUUUUUAUUUUUUAUAAGUUUUUAUUGUAGCGAUGGGGUCUCGCCAUGUUACCCGCGCUGGUCUGAACUCCUGGGCUCAAGUGAUCCUUUUUCGUUGGCCUCCCAAAGUGCUGGCAUUAUAGAUGUUGAAGAAGCCUCAGCGGAGGCGAUACGGCCUCCUCGCCAACACUGAGGACCCCACGGAGAUGGCCUCGCUGGACAGCGACGAGGAGACGGUGUUUGAGUCCCGGAAUCUGAGAUGAUGCUGAGCCAGGGAGGCGGCCCUUCCAGCAGCCAUGAGGGAAGGACAGGAGAUGGGGCC
rnacentral:lncRNA from 10 species